UGUCCUACGGGAGGCUGCAGUAGGGAAUAUUGCACAAUGGAGGAAACUCUGAUGCAGCGACGCCGCGUGAGUGACGAAGGCCUUCGGGUUGUAAAGCUCUGUUCUCAGGGAAAAAGAAAGUGAUUGUACCUGAGGAGAAAGGACCGGCUAACUUCGUGCCAGCAGCCGCGGUAAGACGAGGGGUCCAAGCGUUGUUCGGAAUCAUUGGGCGUAAAGCGGGUGUAGGUGGCUCUAUAAGUCAGAAGUGAAAGCCCCGGGCUUAACCCGGGAAGUGCUUUUGAUACUGCAGAGCUUGAAUGUGGGAGAGGGUAGUGGAAUUCCAGGUGUAGUGGUGAAAUACGUAGAUAUCUGGAGGAACACCGGUGGCGAAGGCGGCUACCUGGCCCAACAUUGACACUGAGACCCGAAAGCGUGGGGAUCAAACAGGAUUAGAUACCCUGGUAGUCAUC
rnacentral:rRNA from 1 species